CGUCUCUGUUGAAACCUUUCAUGGAGGCGGCUAUUGUAUUGAACAUAGACUAGAUCAUUCAAACGAGAAUGUUCCAGUCUAUUCCUCUUUUUGGUAUGAAUCUGAAUUCAUAAACAAGAGAGAACAAAAAACACAUUUAUUGUUCCAAAAU